UAUGUACUCCCUCCAUUCAGAAUUACUUGUCGCUCAAAAGGAUGUAUCUAAUACUAUUUUAGUGCUAGAUACAUCCAUUUGAGCGACAACUAAUUCGGGACGGAGGGAGUAAUAU
rfam:Triticum aestivum genome assembly, contig: Triticum_aestivum_CS42_TGACv1_scaffold_322417_4BL